GCCCGGCUAGCUCAAUCGGUAGAGCGUGAGACUCUUAUGGGAUUUCACUUUCCAGUCGUUCUCACGAGAUCAUCUCAAGGUUGUGGGUUCGACCCCCACGUCGGGCU